GACAGAGGGUGCAAACGUUGUUCGGAAUUACUGGGCGUAAAGCGCGUGUAGGCGGCCCUGCAAGUCGGAUGUGAAAUCCCCAGGCUCAACCUGGGAACUGCAUCCGAUACUGGAUGGCUUGAAUCCGGGAGAGGGAUGCAGAAUUCCAGGUGUAGCGGUGAAAUGCGUAGAUAUUCGGAGGAACACCAGUGGCGAAGGCGGCUCACUGGACCAUUACUGACGCUGAGGUGCGAAAGCGUGGGGAGCAAACAGG
rnacentral:rRNA from 1 species